GGCUAGUGACAUAACCUAAGAUUAUAUACUGGACGUAACUAGAGACAUAUUGUUGUUAAAGCCGAUAUAGCUGUAGACAAGCAUGCUCUAAAUGGCUCACAUUCCAGACCAAUCAGAAUGAGCCGAUUUCGACUUUACUGAACAUUUCAAACCGCCAACGACGGCGACUAAAUUGAAAUAAAUUUCUCAACUGUGUCUUUGACUAUUUUAGAUUUUUUCUUGCGAUUGCGAUUUUCGGCAUAUUUUAGCCGCUUAAAAUGUUUAUGUAAUUUAAUUUAGUUUUUAAUAAUUUUCUCCAGCUCCUAGACACAUUUUGAAAGAAUUUUAAAUAAUUUUUUUGUGAUAGUAUGUGGUUUUUGUUUAUCAUAUCAUAAAGAAAGCAAAAUCAUGGAUCCAGAGAGGAACUUCAAAGAAUUUGGAACAUGGAAAUCACAGGGUCACUUAAGGUGAUAAUGAAACACAUUUGGAAAUUAUAAUAGAGCAAGGGUUUAGGAAGAUCAAGGCAGAUAAUUUUUUAGCAGAUACUACUAUAAUGCAUGAACCAAUAUUACGUGUGAAGAAGAAAAACCAAGAAUAUUACCUUAUAUAUAGCAUAUAAUUAAGAAUUGGAAUAUUCAGAGGAGGUGCGUGAAUACACAAAAUAAUAAAAGAAUUGAUGAAAUAAAGAUAAUGAAGACAAUGAUAAGAAGCUUAUUAAAAGAAACAAAUGUUAAGAAAUUUAAGGAAACCAGCGACAAUUAUUUUAAAUAUUUAGAAGACCAAUUGAUGAGAUGAACUCAUAUUUUUAAGAUCUUUACAAAAGUAAAUAUUUAAAUAUAUAUGUAUUAUAGUAUUUACCAACCUCUUUUAAAGAUGACAUUAAUAAUCUACAUUUUUUACUAGUUAUCAUUUUCAGUUUAAAUAUUUUAAUAAUUUAUGUAUAUAUCUUGUGAUUUGUAAUAAUUGAAGUUUUGAAUCAAAAACUCAUAAGUGUGCAAGUCGAGAAUUUUAAUUGUUUUAUCGAACAUAUUAAAAAUUUUGAAUGAGUUUCUUCUCAUAAUACCCAACCCACUAAAAAAGAGAAAAAUAUAAACAAACGUAUUACCACAGUUAAAAAUUACAUCGUAAGGGUUAAAAUAUAUAUUUUAAAUAAAACAUAGUCAAAUAUAUUUUUUAGAAUCCACUUAGUAUAAACAUAAUCACUGAACAAGUGUUAUUUUUUUUGUCAGACCUAAGCCUGAAAAAGUGUAAAGAAAAAUGAAUUAUUUCAAAAUAUUACAAGAAAAUAUUGUAACGUGUGUGAAUUUUUAAUGUGAAUUAAUUACAAUUUUGAUUUAUUUUCA